GUGUUUAUGAAUUUUAAUUGAUGAAAAUACAUCAA
rnacentral:sRNA from 1 species